UUCGGCGUGGUCUAGUGGUAAGGAUAUGUGGCUUUCACCCACAAUGCCAGGGUUCGAUUCUCGGCGUCGGCA
rnacentral:tRNA from 1 species